rnacentral:piRNA from 1 species
GAGGAUGUCUGGGAAUUUGAUGCGUUGCU